rnacentral:lncRNA from 1 species
GGACAAGUGAGACUUCAAGAAUACAGGAUGCCUACUGUCCCAUGCUCACGAACUCUCUCCCCUCGCUUGUUCUCUGUUCUUUGCUCAAGUGGUAGAGAUCUAAGCAGCUCAUUUUAAAGAAGGGAAAUGACAUUAAGGCAGAGAGGGCAAAGUCAAACUCAAACUCAUUGAACUUGGUGAGUCUCCUGAGCCUCCUUCCACCCCAAGCUUGCAGAAACUGCCUGAGACUCACUGUCUCAGCUUCUGCUUUCUGGGAAUCCAAUAAGGAUCCUCUCUGAUAUGGCCAGAAGAUAAAAGACUCCAAGUGAUAAGCAGGGACUAUGGGGUAAAGCUGUCAAGGAAAGCUGCCUGCACAAGCAGCACUGUGGAUUCUCAAGAGAAGUCUGAAAGAAGCAGAGCUUAAGAAAACCCAGGCAUUACUACUCACUGUCAGACUGGGCACAGACAUGGUGAUAUUACUAAUCCUAAGUGUUUGUAUAUACCAUGUGUUGUACAAGAGACAACCUUUCCACAGGAACUUAUGAGGUAGUCUGAAAGUAAGGCAUAAAUAUAUGUGGAAGGAACCUAGAGAUCUGAGGGGGAGCCCACUGUAGGACAGUGAUGUGAGCAGCAGGAGAACCCCUGUGAUUUCCCAGUCCCUAUUUUUAGAUCCAUUGUUCUAUGACUCUGACAAGUAUGCUAAGAGUCACUCAAACACAGAGACUAGCUAUCCUUCAAAGCUUCUGUUUGGUAGACAACUGGGAUUCACACUUCCAGUGAGAGAAGAACUGGGUUGAGAGCCUACUGGGCUAGAGGAGGAUAGAAGAUGAGUUGGAUGUGGGGGGAGCACAAGAAAAGUCCACUCGGAAGGCA